GAAGUUUGUGAGUCGGUCACAGGAGCGGCGACUAUGUGUGUGUGUGUGCAUGUGUGUAUGUGUGUGUUUACAGGAGGGGUGGGGGACGUCUCGGUUUUUAGAAGUGGAGUUUUACGCGCAUGCAUGUUCGUUCUUGACGCACGCGCCUCAUCCAUCACUCGCCGUGACAUUAGCACGACAAAGAGACUUCAAUCAAAGUGGGCCAUCAAUCUGAUAUCAGCUCGGAUCUGUCAGAGCGGAGAGAGAGGCCGAGAAGAAAAGAGGAGCUGAGAGCGGCCUGCUGCUCCCACAGACACAUACAUGAAUGAGCUGAUCUGUUACAGAAAUGAGGUUAAGGCAGACAGGAGGCCUUCUGGAGGGACAACCUCUGCAGGAAGCAUGGAGACAACACAAUGCUCUCUGUGAAUGCUCUGACAGUGGAAGCACAGCCAUCCUACCACCGGGACAGAAUUAGGACGAGUAGCGUGGGCGAGCUACAAGACGGGAGGUUAAUGAUCAGUGAGGGUCUGAAAGGAGAGCGAGUGGGCAGGAAGUCUGCAGGAACAGACCGGGACAAGAAGAAGAUUAAAUGACGCCCACACGGCCGUCUGAGGGGUGAAGAGACCACAGGAGAGAGAGAGAGAAGUCCGAUGUGUACUAAUUGUCAAAUCAUUCUGUAGGAUCUCAGCCCCCAAAAUGGACCGAAAUGCUCUUCAUCACACGUCCCUCACAGCGUGGAGUCUCCUCUGAUGGACGAAUGGAGGGUGUUUGGCAGAGGUGUGGGAGAUUAGUCUCAGGAUGCAGGACAUGUCAUCAUAGCCAAGCUGUGAAAGCCACAGUGUAAUGUUGACAACAUGAUGGAGAACAAAGCAACAGAGACCUACAUGAUGACAGUUUUUACAUUUAUAUCAAUGCUACGAGUAAACAGACGGACGUGCAGGCAUCUUCACUGUUCAUAUCUUGAACCCUAAUUCUCUGUCUUCAACCUGAUGUUAUUAUACAUCAUGUUGUGGUCCACCACGACUCAGUUACAGUGAAUUAUUGAGUAUAAAAACCUGUGUUUUCACAUCUGCUCAACCCAUUUCUUAUCUAAGUUGUUCCUGGGGGGCUGGCAGGAAAAUGUAGUCUCUUUAUGUUCACAUGCAGCCCACCCUAAACAUUUGGUCCAUUUUCAGGAGUUUUGUGCAUGUAUGAAUUGAGCUUAAAAAUUUGGUGCAAUGUUUUAGCAGCUCACUGCUAUGGUUUGUGCCCAUCUAAGAGUGGAACGGUUUAGAUUCUGUCUUAUUGAAAUGUAGGAUCGCACUCCCAACGUCAUGUCUUAACGUCAUGUUUUCUUUGUUUGUGCAUUUCUGGAUUUGCACAAUUUUUUUGCAGCAUGUUUGCGGUUUGUGCAGUUAUUUAGUCUCCUUGUACGCCGUUGUUUUUUCAUUCACAACAAACUUUAGCCUUUGCAUUUGUUUUAGACUUUUCAUGUGUUUAUAAAUUUGCAUCAUUCCUGAAUCUGCAUCACGCUUCUCCUAAAGAAGAUUGCUGGGGCUGUUGCAGAUCAGUUAGCCUAGUCGGCAACCAUAGAAGUUUAAUCUACAAUCUGAUAUAUUUAAAGAAACAUCAUAGUUGCUAAUUUAACCUCUCAUGACCAACCAACUAAAAGGCUUCAGAGCCUCUUUUUUUGGAGUGAAAACUCUGGGUGUGUUUCAAUGUGGACAGAGGAUCAAAUUCACGAAACAGCUUUUUGGGUUUUGCAGGUGCAAAUCUUUGCAAAUUGUCAUGGAACUGUGCUGCAGAGCGAAACAUGUCUCCAUUCUCUGUCUUUGUUUCUCUUUGCACACAUUUAAAUCAGCCCUUCUGCUGAAAUCCAUGGCAUAAUUGAACCCUUUUUUAUGCAAAAGGAAUAAUUAAAAUUCGCAAACAGCAGCUUUAACAGGUUGUUCAAAUGAAGUGUAAACAAUCAGAGAG